rnacentral:lncRNA from 10 species
GGACGCCUGCGCGUUAGGAGAUUCUGGAGCCAGAACAGCGGAAUUGCCUUCGCCCGCCCUGCCCCUCGCCUGCUUCAGAAGCUUCCAGGAACUCCCGGGUCGGCGACCCAGCCCGAGCCGCCUGGGGCCCCAAGGGAAGCUGAACGCCCUGUGGGCUCCUGGGAUGGUUCUUCCCGUUCUUUGCGCCGCCUUCACCCAUUGAAGAGCCUGUGCCCACCCUGCCCAGUCGCUCUCGGGGCCGCGGAGGAGCUUCCGCUGCCAUCUUCGGAUCCUGUGUUCCGCACGGGGGCUCCACCAGGGCAGGGAUGGUGAAUGGGGAAAUGGAGAGAGAACCUGAAAGAGCCCCAAACUCGAGGACCUAUUGCUCCCCAAGAAUAACAUCUUCCAGAAGAACUAGACAGAAAACUAGGCGUCUGGGAACUCUGAAAUCCUUGGAGGAGUAGCAUCAUCAUGACCCUCUGUGUUCCUUUUGGCAAAGGACUUGCUCCCAUUGUUUGCUUGUUCCAUUGUCUGUCUGUUAAAUAAAUAAAACCCUUUUCAUAUAUCUUUAAACUUA